ensembl:lncRNA
GUGAGCGGCCGGGGGGGCGUGUGUAGGUGUAGCUUGGCAUCUCCCAAAGCCCCCCCCCCCCCCCCCCCCCAGUGCGUGCAGUCCGACAGCUACCGAGGAAAAACAGCGAACGAAAGAGAGAGGAGGAGGAGGAGGAAGAGGAGGAGAAAUAGGGAGAGGGAGAAAAAGAAGGAGCAUCACUUAAAGAAGAGCGAGAAGUUGCUGCAGGACUGGGCGAACUGCAGACUUUAAAGCAGCGAUGGGAAGGAAGCAUAGAGGGCAGAGGCAGAGCUGCAAAGCCCCCUCCUCAGCUCUUCCUCUGGGCACAGCGUUGCCCAGGGUGUCAAUCAGGACUUUAUCUCGGGCCGAAGGAGAAAAUAAAAGAAGAUAAGGCCUCGCUCUCACCCUGGGAAGAAAGCUAAUGGGGCAAGAGGGGGAAAGUCUUCAGCGCCCCGUGCCUCUCCCGGAUAGUGUUCUUGUAGUGACCUUGAGCUGCUGCCGGGGUGGGCAGAAGGGCCUGAGCCGAGCGGCUGCUCCCAUCCUCUGCCCGAGGGACACCUGCGAUUUUCAGUUGUCCCCUCCUUUGCCCCAAGGCGGCCCCACCGCCGCCCGUGGAAGCCGACCCCCGGCGUCGCGCAGCCCCCGGGCCCGCUUCCUCCCUCCCUGACAUCCUUCCUAUUUUUUUUCUUUCUCAUCUUCCUCCUUGCCAAUCCCUCUCUCCUUCUUCCUUCCUUUUCUCGUUUUUCCUUUUUUUUUCCCCUCUCCCCACGUCCUCCAUCUUCCCCCCUUCUCCCGCCCCCGCCCCGCACAGCGAAAACUCAGACAAGGCUGGCAGAGCCGUCGUGAGCACAUCCUUCACCUUAACCGAACCUCACAAAUUUCGGGACCCUUUCCUAGCCCCAUUACCAACCCCACUCCCAGACUCAAUUCCCAGCCCCGUUCUCAUCCCCAUUCACAGCCCCGCGUCUCGUACUACGGCCGUAACCCGGCUCCGUGUGGCUGCCCCGGGCAUCCCAGAAAUACUCGCUGUGCUCAAGGUGAAAAUACAGAUUAUACAUAUCACCUAAGCGGCUCCUGAAAAGUUUGGUUUGUUUUCUUCAGCUCACGUUAAGCGCAAAAAAAAAAUAGAAUGGGUGAAAGGGGGCAUUCGCUUUCACCAAAAAAGAGCAUUUCCCCCCGGUCCAUGCCCUCGUCCUUUGUGCAAAGGUUGGAUGAGGCCAACGUGGUAAACGCGUAAAUCUGUAGAUCUGUGAGCGCAGAGAGGAGCUGGGAUUGGGACGGGCAGAACCAGCGGCUGCAGACGGUGAGGCCGGGCCGUACUCUGCUGCCGGGACUGGGAGAUAUCCCGAGAGCUUUCAUCCUCACAGAGGUGAGGAUCCGGGUGCGAAGAGCCGCUCUGGUUGGCACAGGGUUUGGUGAAGCCAAUGUCUCGCAAGGACACGUGCACGCGCACCUCUACAUCGCAGUAAAAAUUAGACCUUUUCCACGUGCACCGAAACGGAUAUGUGCUUGUCUCGUUUGGUCCGGACGGAGCAGUGGCUGUGUGCACAGAAAAACGUGCUUCGAGAGAACACUCGGAGCUCAUUCCGUGCCCGUCUGCUCUGGGAGGCGGACGUGCACGUUUACCUGCUCGGCUGCGCUGUCGCGGGCUGCGGGAGCGGAUCUCCUGCCUUCGGGAGUACACUUUAGGCAUCACGCGAUUGGAAACCAUUCGUUUCCGACGAAUAUUUUCUUUUAUUCGGGGAAAAAUAAUCUGCUCCGACCUCAGUGCCAACGACUCCGAGCAGAGAGCCGGGCGUUACCUGCGGGUCCGGACUCCGAACCCCCCCACCCGCACCCGUGGCCGCAGCAGCGUCGCUCGAGACAAUGCCUAUUUUCUGUCAUUAAUAACUCGUUUCUUUAAGGGAAAAAAAAAAAUCUCGUUUGGAUUCAAGAUUGUUUUUUAUGAUUCAGUUGGACAAGACGGAACACAUGUUAGUUUAAGCAGGUUCAUGAAAUAGCUGUAAAUCAAAUAAAGUUUACGAGUUUAGCAGGAAAUACUGAAUAGAUGAAAAAAAAAAAAAAACCCUCAGCC